rnacentral:rRNA from 1 species
CGGAGGAUCCAAGCGUUGUCCGGAUUUAUUGGGUUUAAAGGGUGCGUAGGUGGAUAAUUAAGUCAGGGGUGAAAGCCUGCAGCUCAACUGUAGAACUGCCCUUGAAACUGAUUAUCUUGAAUGUGGUUGAGGUAGGCGGAAUGUGUCAUGUAGCGGUGAAAUGCUUAGAUAUGAUACAGAACACCAAUUGCGAAGGCAGCUUACUAAACCAUUAUUGACACUGAGGCACGAAAGCAUGGGGAGCAAACAGGAUUAGAUACCCUGGUAGUCCAUGCCCUAAACGUUGAUAACUCGUUGUUGGCGAUAUACAGUCAAGCGACUAGGCGAAAGUCGUUAAGUUAUCCACCUGGGGAGUACGUCCGCAAGGAUG